rnacentral:rRNA from 16 species
GGAUGCUAUCAUACCAGCACUAAAGCACCGGAUCCCAUCAGAACUCUGAAGUUAAGCGUGCUUGUGCGAGAGUAGUACUAGGAUGUGAUAUGNN